AAGAUAUUGCCAUGUAGUUCUGUUGAAAGUUAGGUCCUGGAAAGUCCUCAACUUUGUCCUAAGAAGAACUUGUUGUUAGAAGCCAAGCACACUUUUCAGAAUGUUUCUGCAGUUUGCGCUGCAGUUUUCAUUCAAACAUUCUUCUAGUGCCAGCUCUCCCAUGCAAGUCAAAGGUAGGUUAUGAUGUAAAGUGGAGUUCCUUCUCAGAGAAAGCAGCUAGAUCUCUGUCACUGUGUCAGAACACUCCACUCUGUGAAUUCCAUGGAAUAAUAUUCACGUCACAAUCUGGCUCUCUGGAUUGCCAAAUUCUGUAGCAUAUCUCUAUGAGGGCUGGGGCUUCCACAGCUCGUGACAGGAACAGCCAGGGAUGGUCUACCCAAGACUCCUGUUCCCCAUUUUCCAAGAGCCCUUUCUGGCAUCAUAAGGGAAUUUUCCCACCGGGAGUCUACUAAAUAUCGUCUAAUCCAAUCCCAAAUCCAUGGAAAAGAAGACAAUGAGCAAAUCUCUCAGGCCUGAAUUCUUAUUUCUCUAGAACUUCAUCCUCUCUCUCUGGUUCCAUCACCUACUAAGGGGCUUUCCAUCCUCAGCUUUGAGCUUCUUUGCCUCUGACUGUGACAGGACCGAGAGACUGACGUAGCUAUCUCCAAAGUGUAAACUGGCCCCGAUGAUUGAAAUAUCAGUUAUAUCCAAGUGGACUGCAGAGCGAGUACCAGACCUCUGGAAGAGAGAAAGAGAGGACAACGUGGGAGGCCACCCAACGGGAGGCUAGAGGGGCCUUUGCUGGAGAGGUGAGGAAGGGCAGAAGCCUUACGGGCUGGACAGGAGCGUCACGUGCCUCGACCGGCAGACCAGUGAGAAGGGGCGGAGCCGGAAGAGCAAGGAAAGGGCAUCGGCAAAGCAGGAACGGUGGUCACACUUGAACUAACCGCGUGAACUCGGC
rnacentral:lncRNA from 1 species